AUCUGGCUGGCCCAGUCAGAAGAGUGUGGGACUCUUGAUCUCAGGAUUGUGAGUUUGAGCCUCACGUUAGGUA
rnacentral:tRNA from 1 species